CACCUGAACUGCCAUUCAGAAGGUUUGGAUUCCAUCAUACGUGUAGAUCACCUGGACUCCCAUUCAGAAGCAGGUGGUAAGACUACUUCAUGGCACUACAAUGAAUCAAUAUUUAAAGCUAGUUCUUCUUUUUAUGAUUUUGGAGCAGACUAAUUCCAUUCCUCAAUCCAACAGGACAAAGCUACACGACUGUCCGACUGAUGUGUACAUUGCUCUGGAUACAUCUGAAAGUGUCGCCCUCAGAGCACAACCCUACGGAUCCCUAGUAGAGAAAAUAAAGGCAUUUGCAGCAGGUUUAGUGGAUCAUCUGAACAGUAGGUACCACAGAUGUGAUAGGCUACUGACUUGGAACGCUGGGGUUCUACACUAUAGUGAUGAAGUGAAGGUAAUCAGUGAGCUUGUCAGCAUGGAGACCAAUAAGGCACAGCUGAAGUCAGCCAUCGAAGAGGUGAAAUAUCUUGGAAAAGGAACCUACACAGAUUGUGCUAUCACUGCAGCUACUGGGCAGCUUCUGAGUGGUGGAAGCUAUCGGAAGGGAAAUAAGUUUAUGGUAAUAGUCACAGACGGAUAUCCCAAUGAGGGACACAAGGAGCCAUGUGGUGGUGUAGCCUAUGCAGUGAACGAAGCAAAAGUUGCCAACAUCAGAUUGUUUUGGGUUGGGAUCACUCCAAGUAACAUGGUUGACCUAUUGGGAUCAACUGCAACUGAUUCUAGAUAUAUCUACAACCUUUCAGCCACCAAUGAUCCUGCUGCACUUCAAAAUACAAUAAAUUCCAUCACAAACCAAAUAGUGGAAGAUUCACAAUCCGUGUGCUGUGUCUAUGAUUGUGAGGGACUAAGAGGGUCACCUGGACCACCUGGUAGCCCUGGAGACCAAGGCAGUGAAGGAAGGAGAGGCCCAUCAGGGAAACCAGGUGGUCAAGGACCAAAGGGAUCUGGCGGUGACCCUGGUCCUCCUGGUCACGCAGGGAUCAAGGGUAACAGAGGACAAGCUGGUACAAAGGGUUUUAAAGGACAAAAAGGACCAAAGGGAUCUAGGGGCAGAAAUGGUAUUGAUGGAAAAGAUGGAUCUAAGGGUGAGCCUGGCAUACCGGGGUUACCCGGCUGUAAAGGGGACGCUGGACCAGACGGUUUGCCAGGCCCUCUAGGGCAAAAAGGAGAUUCGGGCCCUUUGGGUAUGAAGGGGGAAAAGGGUAUAAGAGGUACACUUGGAACACAGGGAAUAUCUGGCGUGCCAGGAGACACCGGUGCAAAGGGAGAAAAAGGGCCUAUUGGACAAAAAGGAAACAAGGGGGAACGUGGAGAUGAGGGAGAAAUUGGAAAACGUGGCUCUACGGGGAAAAGGGGUGAAAAGGGUGAACAGGGAAUAAGAGGCCCUCCUGGUGUCCGUGGACUUCGAGGAGACAAGGGUAAAACAGGACCUCUAGGACCGCAAGGACAUGAAGGCAUUAAUGGAGAAAAUGGUUGUACGGGAGUCGCUGGAGAAAUCGGUAUAAAUGGCUACAAGGGAGAACCAGGCCCUGCAGGCCUUGAGGGAAUCAAAGGUGCAAGAGGAUUAAAAGGUCCCCCAGGAGACACAGGAGCACCAGGUUACAGGGGUGAAGAAGGUGAACCAGGCCAGGGAAUAGCUGGAUCAAUUGGAUUUCAGGGAUUUCCUGGUUUAAGAGGUCCGGAUGGUUCAAAGGGAAUCAAAGGAUACCCAGGAAUGAAAGGAGACCAAGGAACCCCUGGAGACACAGGAGAUGAUGAUAAUCGUACUGGAAAAGAAGGAGAAAAAGGCCAAAAGGGAUAUGCUGGUCCUCCAGGGGAACAGGGUCCUCCUGGUAUGCCCGGACUCCCAGGACCAAAUAGUGUCCAUGUGGCCCGGUAAUGCUGUUCUUUGUCCUGGACAGUUCAGAAAGCGUUGGGCUUCAGAACUUCACUCUGGAGAAGGAAUUUAUUAUUCGUGUGAUUAGCAAGAUCACCAAGAAAGGUGGAAAUAAGGAAAUGGUUGGCACACGUGUGGCUAUCAUUCAAUACAGCCAUGGAGGGAAACAGGAACUGCUUUCUAUGGAUGACCCAAACAUUAAAACUCUGGCUCAGUUUAAGAG